GAAACAAAACAACCACUAAACUUUAUCCGCAAUAACAUGUCGAAACAUUUCGUGGUAUUGUAUUCGAGAGACCGUCUUAAACAUUUGUCCUAUUUAAUGGUGAAUGGCGAGGAUAGGUUUUACAAUCAGGGUGCUACUUGCAAACUGGCACCUGAACAUGAAGGUUCGAUACGAGAGUACAUGUAUUGUAUAUAAGCGUAUAUAGCAUAGCAAACACUCGUCUAUACAAGGAUUGGCUCUCGUAAUGCACCAGGUUCAUCACUGUUUGUCACAUCAAUCAUCGGAUUCUGAUGACAGACCAAUGUUAAGCAUUGGGUACAGACAGAAUAUUAGAUGUUUGUAACUUUGGUGGCGAAUCUGCGAAUUCAGGUAACUGUGGCAACCAUUGACUUCAAUAUCCAAGGAAACAUGGAGUAGAUUCGGACACCUGAAGUGUACCUGUAGAUGUGAUGUUUAGCGUUUUUUUCUUGCUUUAGUGUUGUUUGCCAUUGUUUACGGUACCUGCAAAAGUGUUGUGUAUCGUUGUUUACGUUACCUGUAAAGGUGUUGUAUCGCGUUGUUUACGUUUCAUGUAACAGUGUCUUGUAUCGUUGUUUACGCUACCUAUAAAAGUGUUGUGUCGCGUUGUGUACGUUACCUGUAACAGUGUUGUGUACCGUCGUUUACCGUAUCUGUAAUAGUGUUAUGUACCAUUGUUUACGUUACCUGUAAAGGUGUUGUGUAUCGUUGUUUACGCUACCUGUAACAUUGUUGUAUCGCGUUGUUUACGUUACAUGUAACAGUGUUGUGUCGCGUUGUGUACGUUACCUGUAACAGUGUUUUGUACCGUUGUUUGCGUUACCUGUAAAGGUGUAGGGUAGCGUUGUUUACGUUACCUGUAAAGGUGUAGUGUAGCGUUGUUUACGUUACCUGUAAAGGUGUAGUGUAGCGUUGUUUACGUUACCCGUAAAGGUGUAGUGUAGCGUUGUUUACGUUACCUGUAAAAGCGUU